AUUCAUUGGUCUCCCGUAUAGCACGCAAGACGGUUUACAAUAUGUUGUGUUGUAUGUGCAAUUAUUUUGAUGGCGUUGGUUCUUGUUGUAAAUAUCCUUAUGUAGAUGACUUAUUAAGUGAACUAUUGGCAUGGCCCAGUUUUGGCUAAAGAUUUUUUUAGUACGAAGGAAGAAGAAACUCUGAUGCCACAAAGGUUGUGUAUCAAGUGCGCAAAUUUAUUAAAAUAUAUUUACGUCUUCCUCUUAGAGGUGCAAAAGUUACACGAAAUAUAUUUGAAUCAAGCAAGGAAUUUAAAAAAUUUUGUGAAAAAGAUGUUGGUCCACCGGACGGUUACGAACACGCUCAGUCAGAUGUUAUUUUAAGAUUGGAUUAUGAUGAGGACACAAGAAGAGGAUCAAACAAGAAAACUUUCAACUGAAGCUUCUGAAGUUAUCAAGUUGGUUUGGAGUGAAACUGCCUUAAACUAUAAAACAGAAAGUGAAAGGAGGUUUUGCCUUGAAAACGAUAAUAUUCGCAGCUAUCACUAGCAAAAGCAACCGAGGAUGCAACCUUAAAAUCCAGUCUUGCUACCAGUUGAGAAUAUUGAUCACGUCUGUCUCCUAAUUAACAUCGAUUCAUGAUUCGAUGCAGUCUAAUUGAGAAGAGUAACGGUUCUGCAAAUUGAAGAUCUGCGAAAAUGCUCUUAGAGCUUCUAACGAGACGGCAUCCAUAAACUACCCGGCAAGAAACAAAAGACCACAAAUAACGACGGUAAACAUUUUA